UUGAACGCUGGCGGCAUGCUUUACACAUGCAAGUCGAACGGUAGACCCUUUCGGGGGUUGAGAGUGGCGAACGGGUGAGUAAUGCAUCGGAACAUACCCAGUCGUGGGGGAUAACGUAGCGAAAGUUACGCUAAUACCGCAUACGAUCUACGGAUGAAAGCGGGGGAUCGCAAGACCUCGCGCGGACGGAGCGGCCGAUGGCAGAUUAGGUAGUUGGUGGGAUAAAAGCUUACCAAGCCGACGAUCUGUAGCUGGUCUGAGAGGACGACCAGCCACACUGGGACUGAGACACGGCCCAGACUCCUACGGGAGGCAGCAGUGGGGAAUUUUGGACAAUGGGCGAAAGCCUGAUCCAGCCAUGCCGCGUGCAGGAUGAAGGCCUUCGGGUUGUAAACUGCUUUUGUACGGAACGAAAAAGUCUUCUCUAAUACAGGGGGCGAAUGACGGUACCGUAAGAAUAAGCACCGGCUAACUACGU
rnacentral:rRNA from 1 species